rnacentral:rRNA from 1 species
UACGUAGGCAGCGAGCGUUGUUCGGAGUUACUGGGCGUAAAGGGUGUGUAGGCGGUUCUCUAAGUUUGGUGUGAAAUCUCCCGGCUCAACCGGGAGGGUGCGCCGAAAACUGGAGGGCUAGAGUGCGGGAAGGGAGAGUAGAAUUCCUGGUGUAGCGGUGAAAUGCGUAGAUAUCAGGAGGAACACCGGUGGCGAAGGCGGGACUCUGGGCCGAUACUGACGCUGAGGAGCGAAAGCGUGGGGAGCAAACAGG